rnacentral:rRNA from 1 species
CGGACGGGUGAGUAACACGUGGAUAACCUACCUAUAAGACUGGGAUAACUUCGGGAAACCGGAGCUAAUACCGGAUAAUAUAUUGAACCGCAUGGUUCAAUAGUGAAAGACGGUUUUGCUGUCACUUAUAGAUGGAUCCGCACUGCAUUAGCUAGUUGGUAAGGUAACGGCUUACCAAGGCAACGAUGCGUAGCCGACCUGAGAGGGUGAUCGGCCACACUGGAACUGAGACACGGUCCAGACUCCUACGGGAGGCAGCAGGU